rnacentral:rRNA from 1 species
GCUAGUUGCGCGGGUUUAGCCCCGCGGCGACAAGCUCAGUAACACGUGGCCAAGCUACCCUGUGGACGGGAAUAAUCUCGGGAAACUGAGGCUAAUCCCCGAUAACGCUUCACCCCUGGAAGGGAUGAAGCCGGAAACGCUCCGGCGCCACAGGAUGCGGCUGCGGUCGAUUAGGUAGACGGUGGGGUAACGGCCCACCGUGCCCAUAAUCGGUACGGGUUGUGAGAGCAAGAGCCCGGAGACGGAACCUGAGACAAGAUUCCGGGCCCUACGGGGCGCAGCAGGCGCGAAACCUUUACACUGUACGCAAGUGCGAUAAGGGGACUCCGAGUGUGAAGGCAUAGAGCCUUCACUUUUGUACACCGUAAGGUGGUGUACGAAUAAGGACUGGGCAAGACCGGUGCCAGCCGCCGCGGUAAUACCGGCAGUCCGAGUGAUGGCCGAUCUUAUUGGGCCUAAAGCGUCCGUAGCUGGCUAGACAAGUCCGUUGGGAAAUCUGCCCGCUUAACGGGCAGGCGUCCAGCGGAAACUGUCUAGCUUGGGACCGGAAGACCUGAGGGGUACGUCUGGGGUAGGAGUGAAAUCCUGUAAUCCUGGACGGACCGCCGGUGGCGAAAGCGCCUCAGGAGAACGGAUCCGACAGUGAGGGACGAAAGCUAGGGUCUCGAACCGGAUUAGAUACCCGGGUAGUCCUAGCCGUAAACAAUGUCUGUUAGGUGUGGCUCC